rnacentral:misc_RNA from 1 species
GAAUUGCGAUACGUAAUAUGACUUGCAGACGUGAAUCAUUGAAUCUUUGAACGCACAUUGCGCACCGGGGUAUUCCCCAGGGCAUGCGUGGGUGAGCGAUAUUUACUCUCAAACCUUCGGUUUGGUCCUGCCUCGGCUUAAUAUCAACGGCGCUAGAAUAAGUUUUAGCCCCUUCCUACUUCCUCACCCUCGUAAGACUACCCGCUGAACUUAA